rfam:Cricetulus griseus cell line CHO-K1, whole genome shotgun sequence.
GGAGAGAUGGCUCAGUGGUUAAGAGCACUGGCUGCACUUCCAGAGGACCUGGGUUCAAUUCCCAGCACCC